rfam:Cricetulus griseus cell line CHO-K1, whole genome shotgun sequence.
GGACGUGAGGGCAAUCUGGCUGCAACACCUGUCACCCCAUUGAUCGCCAGGGUUGAUUCAGCUGAUCUGGCUAGCUAGGUGAGUGUCCCCUUCCACCCUAAGCACUCCAAGUGCAUCUCUCCUGAAGCUGCCUGUGCACUUGGUCAAAGGGAAUGACCCUCCCUGAAUAGAGGAGGAGAAGUCUUAGUCAAGGGUAUACCAGUAGCUGUGCUCCCCUGCUAGAACCUCCAAACAAGCUCUCAAGAUUUAGUUCCUGACUAGUAACAGACUUCUUCUUUGACGAAAGUGAAAAAGCUGUUUAAUUCUUUUUAUUUGUUUUUUUUGUGUACAUGUGUCUAUGAUAUGUG